GACGAACGCUGGCGGCGUGCUUAACACAUGCAAGUCGAACGGAAAGGCCCUUCGGGUUUGUCGUGUUGGGAAGGGGGGCGUAACACGUGGGUGAUCUUCCCCGCACCUUGAGUUUAGCCUGGGAUAAUGGAUCUAAUACUAAUUCCGGACAGGAGCUUCAUGUUGUGUGUUGGAAGGGGAUGGUGGUGUGGGAUGGGCACGCGGCCUAUCAGCUUGUUGGUGGGGUAAUGGCAUACCAAGGCCAAGACGGGUAGCCGGCCUGAGAGGGUGACCGGCCACACUGGGACUGAGAUACGGCCCAGACUCCUACGGGAGGCAGCAGUGGGGAAUAUUGCACAAUGGGCGCAAGCCUGAUGCAGCGACGCCGCGUGAGGGAUGACGGCCUUCGGGUUGUAAACCGCUUUCGCCUGGGACGAAGCGUGAGUGACGGUACCUGGAGAAGAAGCACCGGCUAACUACGUG
rnacentral:rRNA from 1 species